rnacentral:lncRNA from 1 species
GCAAAAUACCGUGCCGUUGUACCAAGUUCCUUUCGCGAUGAAAGGUUCGAUUUUGUUCUUGUUUAGAUUGUAUAUGUAUCUUUUCUCUAUGAUAAUAAUACUUGAUUGGAUUUCUUUCCUGAAGGGAAUAAUCCGCAACUGAAUCGAGCAAGUAACCCUCCGAAUCCUGCAACUCAACCUGCUGCUGUGGAUGUGAAUCUUCAGUUUAAUGCCUUCGAUCAACGGAAUGCUUCGGAUACACCGGUGAAAGUUCCCAAGAAACGGGGAAGGAAAAAGAUAAAGCCUGAUCCCGGUAAGUAACUUGUUAUAACAGAGUAUUAGCAAAUAAUUAGCUAUAAUAAGAUUGUUAUAACUUCUUAUUAUGAGAUGCGAAAAUGUUUCGAAAGGAACAGUUAGAUUCAAGAUACAGUU